rnacentral:rRNA from 1 species
CAGGUUUACCUGUGUGACUGCGUACCUUUUGUAUAAUGGGUCAGCGACUUAUAUUCUGUAGCAAGGUUAACCGUAUAGGGGAGCCGUAGGGAAACCGAGUCUUAACCGGGCGUUAAGUUGCAGGGUAUAGACCCGAAACCCGGUGAUCUAGCCAUGGGCAGGUUGAAGGUUGGGUAACACUAACUGGAGGACCGAACCGACUAAUGUUGAAAAAUUAGCGGAUGACCUGUGGCUGGGGGUGAAAGGCCAAUCAAACCGGGAGAUAGCUGGUUCUCCCCGAAAGCUAUUUAGGUAGCGCCUCGUGAAUUCAUCUCCGGGGGUAGAGCACUGUUUCGGCUAGGGGGCCAUCCCGGCUUACCAACCCGAUGCAAACUGCGAAUACCGGAGAAUGUUAUCACGGGAGACACACGGCGGGUGCUAACGUCCGUCGUGAAGAGGGAAACAACCCAGACCGCCAGCUAAGGUCCCAAAGUCAUGGUUAAGUGGGAAACGAUGUGGGAAGGCCCAGACAGCCAGGAUGUUGGCUUAGAAGCAGCCAUCAUUUAAAGAAAGCGUAAUAGCUCACUGGUCGAGUCGGCCUGCGCGGAAGAUGUAACGGGGCUAAACCAUGCACCGAAGCUGCGGCAGCGAACGUAUCACCCAAGACAACUUUACGGAGUUGACGAUUGACGGAGCGAAGCGACGUCAAAGCGUUCAUUAAAGUCGAGUUGGCUUAGGGAUACGUUCGUUGGGUAGGGGAGCGUUCUGUAAGCCUGUGAAGGUGUGUCGUGAGGCAUGCUGGAGGUAUCAGAAGUGCGAAUGCUGACAUAAGUAACGAUAAAGCGGGUGAAAAGCCCGCUCGCCGGAAGACCAAGGGUUCCUGUCCAACGUUAAUCGGGGCAGGGUGAGUCGACCCCUAAGGCGAGGCCGAAAGGCGUAGUCGAUGGGAAACGGGUUAAUAUUCCCGUACUUGGUGUUACUGCGAAGGGGGGACGGAGAAGGCUAUGUUGGCCGGGCGACGGUUGUCCCGGUUUAAGCGUGUAGGUGUGUGUUCCAGGUAAAUCCGGUUCACUUUAACACUGAGGCGUGACGACGAGGCACUACGGUGCUGAAGCAAAAAAUGCCCUGCUUCCAGGAAAAGCCUCUAAGCAUCAGGUAACACGAAAUCGUACCCCAAACCGACACAGGUGGUCAGGUAGAGAAUACCAAGGCGCUUGAGAGAACUCGGGUGAAGGAACUAGGCAAAAUGGUGCCGUAACUUCGGGAGAAGGCACGCUGACACGUAGGUGAAGUGAUUUACUCAUGGAGCUGAAGUCAGUCGAAGAUACCAGCUGGCUGCAACUGUUUAUUAAAAACACAGCACUGUGCAAACACGAAAGUGGACGUAUACGGUGUGACGCCUGCCCGGUGCCGGAA